rnacentral:rRNA from 1 species
AUUGAACGCUGGCGGCAUGCCUUACACAUGCAAGUCGAACGGCAGCAUGGAGAGCUUGCUCUCUGAUGGCGAGUGGCGAACGGGUGAGUAAUGCAUCGGAACGUACCGUGUAAUGGGGGAUAACGUAGCGAAAGUUACGCUAAUACCGCAUACGACCUGAGGGUGAAAGCAGGGGAUCGCAAGACCUUGCGUUAUACGAGCGGCCGAUGUCAGAUUAGCUAGUUGGUGAGGUAAAGGCUCACCAAGGCGACGAUCUGUAGCGGGUCUGAGAGGAUGAUCCGCCACACUGGGACUGAGACGCGGCCCAGACUCCUACGGGAGGCAGCAGUGGGGAAUUUUGGACAAUGGGGGAAACCCUGAUCCAGCCAUGCCGCGUGAGUGAAGAAGGCCUUCGGGUUGUAAAGCUCUUUCGGCCGGGAAGAAAUCGCAGCUCUAACACAGUUUGCGAAUGACGGUACCUGAAGAAUAAGCACCGGCUAACUACGUGCCAGCCGCCGCCGUAA